rnacentral:rRNA from 1 species
UACGGAGGGUGCGAGCGUUGUCCGGAAUCACUGGGCGUAAAGAGCGCGCAGGCGGCUGGGCAAGUCCGAUGUGAAAGCUUCCGGCUUAACUGGAAAAUUGCAUCGGAAACUGCUCAGCUUGAAGGUGGGAGAGGGUAGCGGAAUUCCCGGUGUAGUGGUGAAAUGCGUAGAUAUCGGGAGGAACAUCAGUGGCGAAGGCGGCCAUCUGGAUCAACACUGACGCUGAAGCACGAAAGCGUGGGGAGCAAACAGG